AGCGAACGCUGGCGGCGUACUUAACACAUGCAAGUCGAACGGGGAUCGUCGGGUUAGCAAUAAUUCGGCGGUCCUAGUGGCGUACGGGUGAGUAACACGUGGGCAACUUGCCCUUGAGACCGGGAUACCCUCUCGAAAGGGAGGCUAAUACUGGAUACGUUCUUCGGAUCGCAAGAUCUGGAGAGGAAAGGUGGCGCAAGCUACCGCUCUUGGAGAGGCUCGCGGCCUAUCAGCUAGUUGGUGAGGUAAUGGCUCACCAAGGCUAUGACGGGUAGCUGGUCUGAGAGGACGACCAGCCACACGGGAACUGAGACACGGUCCCGACUCCUACGGGAGGCAGCAGUGGGGAAUUUUCCGCAAUGGGCGAAAGCCUGACGGAGUGACGCCGCGUGGGGGACGAAGCC
rnacentral:rRNA from 1 species